rnacentral:lncRNA from 1 species
GUCACGUUCCCACACCUCCCUGGGCUUUGAACUCAGAAUCUGUGAAAAUCCCCCAAAGGCCAUUCAAGAUAAAAGGAACUGAAAAAGCCGCCCGCUCCCAGUGCCUCUCCCAUCAAAGCACAGACGGGAAUUAGAUUCAAGAUUCAAGGCCAGCAGACGGUGGGAGGUCCCCCUCUCUCCACCCAGCCUCAUUCUCCACCAUCCCGUCUCCAGUCUGCUGGAAUUAGCUGGCCGGGAUCACUGCCUCGUGUUUUCAGGAGAAAAAGCAAACCUGACCAUUCAUCAGACAGAGACAGUGGGAAAGCGCUCCCAGCAGCCACUCAGAACUUGGCCGCCUGCACCCCAUUGUUCACGCUCCGGCACUGCUUCCUUUGGUCGUGAACCAGCAGAAGUUGCUGGUUCUGUUUCCCCCAUCAAAGUUCACAUGGCCUGGGUGACUCAUACUGCGGCCACUUCCUUUUGGAUACACUCACCAAAUAUCCACAGUUUGACUCCCAACAGCCAAGAAAUUUCCAUCUGUUCAGAACAUACAAUUAAAAAUCCAUCCAAAGUGAAAGGAACUUAUGACUCAGCAGUGCCCCGAGAGUGACUCACUGGCAGGGAGCCGUCGGCCCGUGUUUCUGGCCCGUGGAGAUGGAGGUCUUUCCCUGACUGUGUUCUUGCUGGGAAAAAGGACUAACGGGGCUUCUCUGUGACAGACCAGGUCCAGUGUCCCCAAGUCACAGCCCUGGGUGUGGGAGAGUUGUCACCAAACCCAGGAACAGAGCUGUCCAGCAGGGGCCGACUCAGGCCGGGAGGGUGACGCUGAGCCCCAAGGAGGUGGGGGUUCUGUGGGGCUUGGCCUCUCCUACUUGAAGGCCAGACCCGACUUCCAGGCUCAGGGCACGAUGCACUUUGGGAUGAGAGAGUGGCCUUUUGUGGGCCCUGGGGGCCCUUGUCGGUGGGACCACCCACCCCUCCUGGGGGCUGCUGUAGUGAUGUUCAAAAGAAAAGAAAACAUUGCCGAGGGUUUCUCAGCGUUUAAAAGCAAAGCACACCUGAGUGUGCGCCUGGCAGCCAA